CCUCCCGUGCUGGAAGAAAACCUACGAAAAAAAACCAAAACUCGCACGCACGAGCGAGACUGCCCUCUCGAUCCCCUCGACCUACGAUCUGUGACUGCAGACGCACCAGAUCGCCGCCGCGGACCUCGCAGAGAAGACGCAGACGAGAUCCCAAGCCGCUGCUCCUCCUCUCCCGGGAUGCAGCUGCCGCCGCCGAACCAGGGAGACGCCGGCGACCGUCGCCGCCGUCGUGGAUCACCAGGACGCCGCCGCCGCCGCCGCCUGCACCGCCACCACCGCGCCUCGGAUACAUCGCUGCGAAGCGGAUCCCUGGGAGCGGGAGGAGGUAGGGGUCAGCCGCGUCGACAGCGGCGAGGUGGAGCCCUGGGGCUGGGAGUGGGUAUGGGAGGAGGUGGGGGGCAGCUGCGAGCGCAACAGGGCGAGGGGCGUCGACGAGAUGCUCGUGGUGCCUCCCUCCGAGUGGGAAGGGGAGAGGGGCGUCAGCGGCGAGCCGGACGGGGCGAGGGGCGUCAGCGGCGAGCCGGACGGGGCGAGGGGCGUCGAUGAGAUGCCCCCGGCGCUUCCCUCCGGGCGGGAGGAGGAGAGGGGCGUCGGCGACGAGGCGAGUGUCGGCGGUGAGAUGGUCUCUGACGGGCGUGAUGAGGCGGGCAGCUUUGGCGUGAAGCGUGCGUUCGUGGAGGUAUUCGCCAGGGCGCUCUUCUAUCCGACGGUGAUGCUCAACUAUGGCCGUAGCUUGAUCGAUCCCGAGUUCCACUGGUGGGAUCGCAUCGACAAGGAUAUUUGGAUAGGGGAAGUUCCUCACCAACCAAUGUCAUAAUUUAUCACGUCCGCAAAUGAUUUUUGGACUGUAGUUUGUAUUGUUCUGCCGAGCGUAUAACAACGCAUGCUAUCUAUCAAAGCUUCGACUCAUUUGUUUUGCUGCUCCGGAAUAUUGAGACGAGAAGAAUGGCCUUGAUGCUGGAGGUUAAUGGAUCACCCUGGGAACGAUUUUGAGGGCAUUAUGCCAGCUACUUUGAUGGCAAUGGAUUAUGGAAUGGCAAACUAACAGGGCACAUCGCACAACUGGUAUAAAUGUGUUGAUAUGUUGCAUUUCAAGGCAGUUUCACUCAUAAAUACUACAAAGUUUGAACCAUUUAGCAUUUGGGACCACGAGGAUUCCGAUUGGGAGAACGACGUCGUCCAUAGAUUAAUGUAUGGGAACACCGGGCCAACCCACUUUACAGGACAGGAGGGUUGACCGCUGGGCGAUGCGCUGCACGAGUAGGCCAGGAGGAACAAGAGUAGAAGAGGACUGUAGCCUGUAGGUGAGAGAAGAUGAUGCCAUUGCCAUCUUGACUGAAGGUUGGGCAUCUAAAGAUGCUUGGCAACCAGAACUCUGAAGCUAAACACCACUUGAAGGUACCUGGAAAUACAUUACUUGCUGAAGCUGCACAUCCUACGCCCCAGGAGGAGGCCAAAUGCAUAUUCCGAUCAUGUGAUCUAAAUACUAAAGCUUCCUUGCUGGAUCUAAGGUUUAAUUUCUCUGCCCCAAUGCUGGUUCUUAGGGUAAUACAAGUUCUACUCCAUAUUUUUGAUGCCCUCCACAUAAAUCCAUCACUCUCUUGUUGCCUUGAAGCAUACUUCCGUAGCAGCCGGAGCUGAACAUUUAGAGAGACCAUACUGUAGCAAGCUUGCUUUCUAGGGACCUGGUGUUUCUGCAAACCCAACGAUAGGCGUGUUUGAAAAAAAAGGGUCAGUUCGUGUUGCAAUUUCAUGAAAACUUGCUUAUGCGGUGUUAUUGCACUGGUACAAAAAAUGUCAUGGUCUUUUUCUUCCUGUUUAGAUCGCCACCUACCUAUGAAUUACGACUCUGGGCAUGGCAGAAUGUCACCAUAAUUUUUGUUCAGCAACUAGAUUUCAUCCCAAGACGUGCCAUCUCUCUAAUUUGACUCUGAGCAUGUAAUACAGUUAGUUAAUCAUGUGGGUUGGUCUUGUGUCUUCCAGCUGCAAUUGAAUUAGUCUAAGCAAUCGAGGUCCUACUAAUUAAUUAAGCUGGCUAUUUGCUUGCUUCUUGUACCUACGGCAUGCUCUCUGAUCUUUUUUAUCGCAGUAUGCAAGCUUCUAAGCGCCGGAUUGAUGUCGUACUAACAAAUUAAGGUGGUUGAUUACUUGCUUUUUUUUUCUCAGUAUUGCAAGCUUUACUGUGAAUUAAAAGGAAUUAAAAGGAUGGAGCCAGUAUGCCUACAGUUGAUUCACUGAUGUUCAAAUUAACUGCAGUAGCUUAUUUUUCCUACAACUUCAUUGAAAGUUCCUUUGCCGUAUCUAAUUAUCUAAAGUUUUCCUUGUACCAUUUUCCAUGAGAUUAAUGUAAUUGGGAAUACCAGUGCUUGUUUGAAUCAUUUAGUUAAUUAAUUUUGUAGAUAAAACUUGUAUUUGUAUGUUUUAGAAUUACUAUUAUCCUGGUAAAAUGACCACAAGUGAAAGGGUUGUAAAGAUUAAUUAUUCUUUGUGGAAGCAUUAUUGGUCUAAUUAAUAGAUGUACAUGCAUCAAUAAUGUUGUUGAGCUUUAGUUGAUUCUAUAGUGUCGUACUAUUCGCAAAGUUCUAUUUUGAGAAAAAAUAGCAAAUUCAAUAUUGUGGCAGCUAAAUGGCGCGCCCGCUGUAGCAAGUGAGUGCCCAUCGAAAUCACCCUAAGCAUAUUUGCGCUGAUUUUCAUGAUUGCUCUUCUGCCAGCAACAAUGUUCCUCGCACUUCGACCACACAACUGUAUGUUCAUCUUCCAGAGUCCUUAUUCAUAGUUAAUUUCAAUCACAAAGUGACAAAUGCCAGUCUAUUAGUUAACAUGUGUAUCUCCGUUUCUUCUAAGUUUUAAUCGACCUACUCUGAAGUUGUUCCUAAGACAGUGCCUCAAGCAAAGGGAAUGAGCCUCAGUUAGUGUAUCUAGCGUGUUCGCGAUCCUUUGUUGGGAUAAACAUUUGUGCAAGAGCAAGUCUCGUCACUGUUGGUUGUUAGUACUGUUGCUUGAUAAUUCUAAUUUUUACUUCAGUUCAUAAGGCAAUGUAGUUAUGCUUGACGCAUGAUAUGAAGACUGCCAUUUUGCCUUUUGACCUUGGUUUCUUCCUCCAGUAAGUAAAUGCACAUAGUUCUUUUCUAAAUUAGAGCAUAUGACUUGUUGAUCGAUCUCUGAGCUCAGUAAUAAUAUUAAGCCUUAAUCUGUUUAUUGUGCAGACAAGAUGAGAAAGAAAUGCUACCCAAGAAUAUGUACUUUAUAAACAUUUCAACUGUAAUCUGGAAUAAAAUUAAAUAAAUAAGGAAACAAUAUAUUCAUAUAUCUUUUUUGUACUUUGAUGGUUUCACACCACAAGUUCCUAGAUGGUAAUUGUGCUGCAUAUGUCUGCUCUCUUACUUUGUUUUUCUGAACAGGUAGGUUCCGGAAGAUGUCAUGAAGAAUUUCUUUGAGAAAAUUUGCGUGAGGUGUGUCUAAAUGAUUUUUAUCUUCUGAACAUAUUCUUGUAUGACUAACUGAAUUCAUUUUCUCAAAACGUUGGUACUUUUCCUUUUUCAUUUAUGUUGCUCGACUGAGUCUCUCUCGGAUCAUGUACACUCCACAUGCUAGCUGAUCUGUAGCAGUGCGGAAGGUGAGCUUGGCUGCCGGCAGCAGCUCCUUUGGCUGAUCUGCGGCGAUGCAGAAGUUGGGUUGGAAAAAGCACGACCGGCUGCUCUGAAGUGGGUCGUAGGGAGAGCUUCGUAAGAGAUAGGGAGGGAGCUCUAUUGGCCCGUGCAUGACAUCCAACCCAAUGGCAUCAUGCCCUGGUAGGCAUGGUUGCAUGGCCACGGGGAGAAUGGAGCAAGUAGCGUGUGAGGAGUUUAAGAAAUGGGGACAAGGGACAAUUUAGUUAAUUAAGUCUAUGUUAGUUUCAAGUUUUAUCCUUGUUGCGUUAAAAAAUUAAGGUUGGAUUAACCACCAUGUACAUCUUCAAUUACUUUUAAAUAAGAAAUAUAAUCAAAAUAUUCUUUUGAAAUCA